UACGAAGGGGGCUAGCGUUGCUCGGAAUCACUGGGCGUAAAGGGUGCGUAGGCGGGUCUUUAAGUCAGGGGUGAAAUCCUGGAGCUCAACUCCAGAACUGCCUUGAUACUGAAGAUCUUGAGUUCGGGAGAGGUGAGUGGAACUGCGAGUGUAGAGGUGAAAUUCGUAGAUAUUCGCAAGAACACCAGUGGCGAAGGCGGCUCACUGGCCCGAUACUAC
rnacentral:rRNA from 1 species